ensembl:lncRNA
UAUCAAUCUACAAUGACACAAGGACCUCAAACUCCACCUCCUGACACACAUACUACAAAGCAGAUGUGUGAGCAAACAGGAGGACAAUUCAUUUUCAAGAUGAGAGGAAUUAUACUACUCUUGCUGUUUGGAACUGUUGUGGUAGCGAAACCAAAACCAGCUACAGUUGACAUAUCGGAUAAAAAAGGAGUUAUAUUCUUGAUGGAUAAUAUCCAUGGCUUUAACACAACAACCAACUCAUCAACGGUAACACUGCCAAGCAAAGAACUGGACCAUGCAGAGUGGAAUGGUGUAGUGCGGCCAAUUGAAAAUUCUUUUGGGUUUGCACCAAAACCUGCUGACAAAGAGGACACACAGGGGAAUACAGAAGAGUGAAAAUGACACAGCAGAGGGUUCAACUCAACAGAUCCAAACACAUAUGAAGUCCUAACUGAGUACAGCCAUCAGAAUGAGGAACCAGCAGGGGAUUUCUUCAUCCUGUUAUGCUUCUUCUCCUCAAUAAACAUUUCAUUUGAAACUAUUGUGUGAAAUUUCUGUCUCAUUUCCUAAUUUAGCUGAUGUGGACCAACUUCGAAGAGGUGAGUUCAGUUUUAAUAUUUCAUUCCCAAUUUGACC